GGAAAGACAUCUGAAUGCUCUCAAUACCAGCAGAUGCUGCAUACAAACUUGGUUUACCUAGCCACUAUAGCUGACUCCAACCAGAACAUGCAGUCUCUACUACCAGCACCACCCACACAGAAUAUGCCUAUGGGUCCGGGAGGGAUGAGUCAGAGCGGCCCUCCCCCACCUCCGCGCUCGCACAACAUGUCUUCAGAUGGUAUGGUAGGUGGGGGCCCGCCU